ACCCACCCUCCUGCAAGAGGUCGACCCCCCAUCCUCUCCCAGCUGCUGACAGGUACCUGGGUAUCCUCAGCUCAGGCUGUUCGCCCCACACUAUCCCCACAGCCAGGCCUCCCAGGGUACACGUCCCGACCCCCAGGGGUGUCCCCAGCACUGAUAAUAGGCAGAGAUGUCCAGAGUUGCCUGAGCCACUUCUUGGUGUUGCAGACCUCAGGCUGGGGCGGCUCCUCCUCCGUGUGGCCCCGGAUCAGCACACCAGGCUGCUGCCUUUUGCUUUUUACAGUCUUCUCUCCUACUUCCAUGAAGACGCGGCCAUCAGGGAAGAGGCCUUCCUGCAUGUUGCUGUCGACAUGUACUUGAAGCUGGUCCAGCUCUUCGUGGCUGGGGAUACAAGCACAGUUUCACCUCCAGCUGGCAGGAGCCUGGAGCUCCAGGGUCAGGGCAACCCUGUGGAACUGAUAACAAAAGCUCGUCUUUUUCUGCUGCAGUUAAUACCUCGGUGCCCGAAAAAGAGCUUCUCACACGUGGCAGAGCUGCUGGCUGAUCGUGGGGACUGCGACCCAGAGGUGAGCGCCGCCCUCCAGAGCAGACAGCAGGCUGCCCCUGACGCUGACCUGUCCCAGGAGCCUUAUCUCUUCUGACGGGACCUGCCACUGCACACCAGCCCAGCUCCCGUGUAAAUAAUUUAUUACAAGCAUAACAUGGAGCUCUUAUUGCACUAAAAAGUGGAUUACAAAUCUCCUCGAC
rnacentral:sRNA from 1 species